UCCAGCUUCCCUCAAGCCUGACCUCCUUCACAAUCGAGGCCUCCAGCCCAGCUCCGCAGCUUCCUGCAGGAUGUACAGGCAUCCGCUCCUUCCAGGUUGGCACUCGGUGGCCGAGACUUUGGGCUGGGCCUGAGGACCACAGAGGACCAGAAUUUGAUUCUCAGCUCCCCCUCUUCACAAUUGCCUAUAUCUCCAGCUCCAGGGGAACUGGUACCUCCUUCUGAUCACUGUGCUACCUUCUGCCUGCUUCACAUCAAAUGCAUCUAUAUUUCUGGGUGCCUCACGGAGAACACCACUGCUCCCCAGUGUCCAUCCUCACUUUGGAACUCUCCACUGAACCUCUGGGUUGUGCCU